rnacentral:ncRNA from 1 species
UAAUGAAAAGUUAAAUAAAUAUUCUUAAUUGCUGGAAACCUGUAAAAUGGUAAUCAGCAGCGAAGCCUUAGAUAAUACAAACCCAUAGGGAAGUACUAAGGAACGUUCAACGACUAGUCCGAAUGGACGUAGGAGAAAUAAACUCCGAAAUGGAAUAAAUCUAAAAUUUAUAGUAUAUUAAAUAAUAAUAUAUUUAAAUAUUUAGAUUAAGAUAUAGUCUGAACAAUAUUGAAAAAUA